CAAUAAUAAAGGCAAAACAAAGGAAACUUUGUGACGCAAAGCUAUAGGGCCUAAAUUUUAGAGCUUUAUUA
rnacentral:misc_RNA from 1 species